UAGGAUGAACCUGCGGAAGGAUCAUU
rnacentral:rRNA from 1 species